rnacentral:rRNA from 4 species
GACAGAGGGUGCAAACGUUGUUCGGAAUUACUGGGCGUAAAGCGCGUGUAGGCGGCUAAGUAAGUCGGGCGUGAAAUCCCACGGCUCAACCGUGGAAGUGCACUCGAAACUGCAUAGCUAGAGUCCUGGAGAGGAAGGUGGAAUGCUUGGUGUAGAGGUGAAAUUCGUAGAUAUCAAGCGGAACACCGGUGGCGAAGGCGGCCUUCUGGACAGUGACUGACGCUGAGACGCGAAAGCGUGGGGAGCAAACAGG